CCGUGGUAAUUCUAGAGCUAAUACAUGCUAAAAACCUCAACUUCGGAAGGGGUGUAUUUAUUAGAUAAAAAACCAAUGCCCUUCGGGGCUCCUUGGUGAAUCAUAAUAACUUAACGAAUCGCAUGGCCUUGCGCCGGCGAUGGUUCAUUCAAAUUUCUGCCCUAUCAACUUUCGAUGGUAGGAUAGUGGCCUACCAUGGUAUCAACGGGUAACGGGGAAUUAGGGUUCUAUUCCGGAGAGGGAGCCUGAGAAACGGCUACCACAUCCAAGGAAGGCAGCAGGCGCGCAAAUUACCCAAUCCCGACACGGGGAGGUAGUGACAAUAAAUACUGAUACAGGGCUCUUUUGGGUCUUGUAAUUGGAAUGAGUACAAUUUAAAUACCUUAACGAGGAACAAUUGGAGGGCAAGUCUGNNNNNNNNNNNNNNNNNNNNNNNNNNNNNNNNAAUAGCGUAUAUUAAAAGUUGUUGCAGUUAAAAAGCUCGUAGUUGAACCUUGGGCCUGGCUGGCCGGCCCGCCUCACCGCGUGCACUGGUCCGGCCGGGCCUUUCCUUCCGGGGAGCCGCAUGCCCUUCACUGGGCGUGUCGGGGAACCGGGACUUUUACUUUGAAAAAAUUAGAGUGUUCAAAGCAGGCCUUUGCUCGAAUACAUUAGCAUGGAAUAAUAGAAUAGGACGUGCGGUUCUAUUUUGUUGGUUUCUAGGACCGCCGUAAUGAUUAAUAGGGAUAGUCGGGGGCAUCCGUAUUCAAUUGUCAGAGGUGAAAUUCUUGGAUUUAUUGAAGACGAACUACUGCAAAAGCAUUUGCCAAGGAUGUUUUCAUUAAUCAGCGAACGAAACUUAGGGGAUCGAAGACGAUCAGAUACCGUCGUAGUCUUAACCAUAAACUAUGCCGACUAGGGAUCGGUGGGUGUUAUUAUUUGA
rnacentral:rRNA from 1 species